CCAAAUAUUUUAAUUUCUUUUCUAUUUCUCUCUCUAGCACAUCCUUCUCCCUUCUUUCUUCCUUCUUCAUUCUUCCUAUUCCGUCUUCCUCUUCUGUCUUCUAAUCUUCUGCGUUCUUCCUUUUUUUUCUCCUGUCUUCUACGACAUGACUUUAUGAUUCCAAAAACAAAUCUACAUUUGUUAUUAACAAUAUUGCUAACGAAACUCUAGCCGAAGGCAAAAGAACGGCUCGAAGUCUUCCUACAGAUGUCAGUUUGCUUUCGUCGCAUUUGUGACCGGCAUCCACCGUUUGGGGUCUAAAUAAUCCACAUCUGCUGAUUCAAUGGUUAUUACGGAGAGGUUGUCCAAGGAAGAAAUUGGUUGUUUAAAAGAGUAGGUUUUACACUAUGCCGGUGUUGGUUCGCAGCGGACGACGAUUAUUAUUCUGAAACAGAUUCGAUUCCAACUUUAUCUUUUUUUUUCUUCUGAUGUUGUUUAUAGUGUAGAUUUCAAAUUUGGAGUGGCAUGCCCUUUUGAUUGAUAACUCAAAUAACAGGUAAUAGUUAGUUUGGAGUAACUUUGUAAGUUUUAAUUUUAAGCUAUAUUUGAUUGAAUUCUUUAAGGGCUAAUGUGUUAGUUUAUUUUACACUUUCUUUAUUGCACACAUGGUGUUUGAUAAAAUGUCUCAGCAAAGGAGAAAAGGAGUCGGUGAACGGGCAUAUGGCAACUUAUUUCUUUGUUUCACAAGUUUUAACAAAUGCAGUAAUUUUGGUAUGUUAGUAUUACUCUUCUGUUCACUGAUGUUAUUAUUUUUCCACUAUCUUUUUGUUAUACGUCGAUUUUGCUGUUGUUCUUUGGUUUCACGGUAGUUAAAAUGAGCAUCAAGCACGUGUACGCAUCGAGGAAACAAAGGGAGGUUGUUUAUAAAGUAAGUUUUUUGGUUUUAGGUUUGUAAUUAUUCGAUGAAAGCUCCUAAAAAAACACGUUAUUUGGUACGACAGUCCCUGUUAUAAGUGGAAUAAUUUAUUUCACCUAAACUAUUUAGUAAAUAAAAUUUACCACACCGUUGAAGCAAUAUCUCUGGACUAAAAACUAGCUGAAAUAUAUUUUUUUAAACCUUUUUCCCUUUGAUUUUUAGGUGUGAAUGAAUGCAGUUAGACAAUGGUGAUAUCGUAUGCUUUCAUAAAGCUUCUGCAAUGGGUAACGGGUAACGGGAGAAAUUAAAUAUACUGAUAAAGCUUCAUUGGUUACAAGAUUGGUCAAAACUUUCUCGAUGUUUGCAUAGAUUAAAAUGUUUGAGUAUUGAGGGAAGAGGUUGCAAAUGGAGCCAUUGAAAUUCAGCGGUGCUUAUCCGUCGAGUGAGGAGUUAGAAUCUCUGGAAUUUAGAGGAGUAAGUAAUGAUUGAGGUUUUAUGAUGUUUACUAAUCAUUUAUAAUUAACAUAAAUAGUAUUAUGGUUCCAUGGUGCAGACUAAAGCUCUUCCAAAUAUUAGCAUUGUGUGAAAAGAAAAAGUGUCCAGGAGAGGUUCUCUUGAUGAAAGCAAAGAAGCUGAGAGAGAACAAGUUAUUGAAUUUGAAAUUGAUUUGACGACUGGAAUUUACUCUACUGAAGUCAUCAAUACGGUAUCUACAUAGUUCAUUCAAUCAAAGGUUGACUAGAAUUUACUUUUGCAGGUUAUAAAUAAUUUUUUUAUUGUUUACUUUUCAUCUAAUGGCAUAGUUGCUUGGCUCAGUUUAAUGUCGCUUGGCAUCAAGGUUUCGGUUUCGGUGUUGCAACUGUGGUAUUUGAGACACUACUUUUAUUCAUGACUACUAAAAGUAUUGAUAACGUGUUUCAAUAUGAGGCGGUACUAAGCUUGAAUCAUUCCUUUUGCUGUUUGUUUUUACUUCAUCUACUUCUUCUCUGGUCCCUGCGUAUUUCCGUUGUGCAGGUUGUCGUAACUGUCGGUAUUACUUUACAGGUUCUGCGUAUUAGUUCUCAAAGUUUUUGAAUUUCUAACAUGUACAAAUAAUAAUGAGUUUUUGGUCUCAUUGUUGUUGCAGUAAGAUACUGGACAUGGUGGUUUCUGUGGAGUAUACUCUGAGGGAUGAUAGUGAGAGGGUUGAUUAAAGCUGUAGCAGUCCCAGAAGAGGAGGAGAUGGUAUCACAUGUAUUGUAUUUGAAGUCAAUUUUAUGCAUUUCCUACAGUUAUGUUCCUUUCUUGAACUAAUUUAUUGUGUUAUUUAUCUACAGUCGUUCACCGGUACGAAGGUCAAGGACUUAGGUGAUGUCUGGUUUGAGAGUAAGUAGUAGGGCUUCAAUGGCACUAUACAGAAAUCUGGUGCUGAAGUCCUUUCCCUUGGAGCUGCUUCUGGAACAACUGUCUCUCAUGUGUCUGAUAUUAUUGGUCCAGUGGGUAUUAAUUAAAUAUUGUGUAUUUAACAAUUUGUGAUUAAGGAUUGAUUAGAAUAACAUUUUUUGUUUAUGUAGACUGGAGUUGUGUAUGCAGUAGAGUUCUCCCACCAAAGUGGGCUCAAUUAAAUCAUGAAACUUAUUUGUUGUACUAUCAGACAUGGGCGUGAGGAUAUAUUAUUCGGUUUCAGGAUCGAAUUCGUACAAUUAUUCCACAGUUGUCUGGUUGUUCGAAUGGUGUUUCAGACCUGCUGAUGGACAAUAUUACGUGCUCCGUUUUAGAUUUUGCACCUGUGCCAAUUCCUGAAACAUUUAGUUAUUUCCAGUGGUUGAAAUUUCAAAAACUCUUGAUAGUGAUAUCCUGGAAGAAUACUUGGGCUGAAUGAAAUUUUCUGCAUUUUAUAGGUACUGUGAGUUUGUUUCCAAUAAGUCAGCUUUUGCCAAGUAUAUAUGGAUACAAAUUUGGUUCAGGAGCUUGCAGUAUUUGGGUGGACUCGUCAAAAAUCCUGAAAGUUUAUCAAAAGCAUGACGAAGUCUUAGUUAUAGUCCGAAAACAACUCUCGGUAGCAUGAUUUCUCACUUGGUUCUUUGACUAUUGGAUUAGCGUGACAUCGACGGUUGUUAUUUAAGUGACAUCAUAGGUGAUUGGGUGAAAAUUGGUUUUCCUGCCAAAGUCAAAGUGCUGAAAGAAUAUCCAAACCAUGAUUUCAAAGAACAAUGCAGACUCUGUGAAGUAGUUAGUUAAUUAUGUUGGAGAAUAUCCAAACCAUGGAUUCAAAGAACAAUGCAAACUUUGUGAAAUGUUGUUGAUAUGUGGAUGUCGGGAUAUCUGAUGUGUUGGAUUCAAUUCGUUGAGAUCAGAAUCAAUGUCCGGUUGAAGCUUGCAUGUCAGGGUGAUUUAUCGGUGUCUUUGAAUUGAAUAUUAUUGGAACUUUGGUGAUUUGUUUAUUGAUGGUAAAAUAAUCCUUAAGCAGAACUGAAACUAAGUUCAGGGAGGACAUAUGCCACCAUAAAAUUCUAAUGAAUAGUUGAAAUUGCUCUUAGGUGGUGGAGAAAGCCAUGAAAUGUAUAUUCGUUUAAACAAAUAUUUGGUGGGAAUAUCUUUGUUUUGCAUCUGUCAUUGAAGUUACUUAUUCCAUUCUUUUGUUUAGAGUUGCACCUGUAUGGAUCUUUUGCUUGGUUGCAUGCAUUAAUAUUAUUCAUAUAAUCACA